rnacentral:misc_RNA from 1 species
GACAGCGACACAGCCAACGCCGGUGGCUGUCGCCGCGGCAAUUCCAACGGCGAAACCUAUAAUAUCUCCGUCGAAUUCCGGUGAUGAACAAGUGAUUUCAACGAACUCGUCACCAUCAAGAGUAGCUCAUGUGAGCGGACCAACCACAGAGCUUUUGGACGAGAAUGAGAGAUUGAGGAAAGAGAACGUGCAGCUCUCAAAAGAAUUGACGGAAAUAAAGAAUCUUUGUAACAAUAUUUUUAGUAUGGUGUCGAAUUACGCGAGUACUCAAUCAGAAGUUGGUUUGCAUCCGUCGGAAGGUGGGCGUUUUCCGGCGGUCAAGCCGCUGGAUUUUCUUUCGGUAAAGCAAUUUGGCGGUGAAGAGGAAGACACGAGUGCAAGGCUUUUUGGUGUGGCGAUUGGUGCUAAGAGAGGGAGGGAAGGGGAAGGCAUAGCGGCGGAUAAUGAUACGCAGUUGCAGUUGCAGCUGCAGCAACCGGGAGCUAAUCCAGUGAAGGCUGAGCCGCUUGAUUGUCAGAAUAGCGCUAUGAACGGUGAUGAUGAAUCAAGACUAACAGUGGAUUGAACGUGCAAGGUAAUCGGCGGGUUAUGUAAUUGAUAGGAUUAGGAUUAGGAUUUUUUAG